GUGGGGAAUAUUGGACAAUGGGCGAAAGCCUGAUCCAGCCAUGCCGCGUGUGUGAAGAAGGUCUUCGGAUUGUAAAGCACUUUAAGUUGGGAGGAAGGGCAGUAAGUUAAUACCUUGCUGUUUUGACGUUACCAACAGAAUAAGCACCGGCUAACUUCUUGCCAGCAGCCGCGGUAAUACGAAGGGUGCAAGCGUUAAUCGGAAUUACUGGGCGUAAAGCGCGCGUAGGUGGUUUUGUAAGUUGGAGGUGAAAUCCCCGGGCUCAAACUGGGAACUGCCUCCAAAACUGCAUGACUAGAGUACGGUAGAGGGUAGUGGAAUUUCCUGUGUAGCGGUGAAAUGCGUAGAUAUAGGAAGGAACACCAGUGGCGAAGGCGACUACCUGGACUGAUACUGACACUGAGGUGCGAAAGCGUGGGGAGCAAACAGGAUUAGAAACCCUUGUAGUCC
rnacentral:rRNA from 1 species